GAUGAAGAACGCAGCGAAAUGCGAUAAGUAAUGUGAAUUGCAGAAUUCAGUGAAUCAUCGAAUCUUUGAACGCACAUUGCGCCCGCCAGUAUUCUGGCGGGCAUGCCUGUUCGAGCGUCAUUUCAACCAUCAAGCCCCAGGCUUGUGUUGGAGCCCUGCGGCUGCCGCAGCCUCCCAAAACCAGUGGCGGGCUCGCUAUCACACCGAGUGCAGUAGUUUACUCUUCGCUCAGGGCGUGUGGCGGGUGCUAGCCGUAAAACCCCCAACUUCUCACGGUUGACCUCGGAUCAGGUAGGAAUACCCGCUGAACUUAAGCAUAUCAAUAAGCGGAGGA
rnacentral:misc_RNA from 1 species